rnacentral:tRNA from 1 species
UUUGCUCAAUUGACUUAGAGCAUUCCGAUUACCAUCGGAAGGGUCGGGGGUGCGAAUCCCUCAACUGCUACUCCA